GACUGGCUAAGGAAGGCAGGUGGCUUGUUGUUAAGCCCAGCAGCUGCAGAGGAUUAGUAGCUGCAUGAUGCACAUGCUCAUGGAUUCUUUGCCUGCCUGUGCUGGCUUCAUUUAAAGCCCUGCUCCUGUCUAGACCCUGACCAAACACAAUCUUGUUCUAGACCUGUCCCAGACUUGCUCCUGCCUCCUUGAUUUCAGGUAACCUGGUUCUGAGUGUGUCUUGACCCUUGGUUCUGGCAUUCUAACUCUGACUACAAUUCUGACCCUCAGCCCUGGUUCCUGUUUUGGAAUCUGCUUUGGCAUUUAGACUCUGACCACUAGGCCUGACUGCCUACGACCCAGUCUCCUAACAUAUGAAGAAUAUAAAUCAUAUUAGAAAAGUGAGAUACAACUCCUGUUGAAACUGCAGGAAUAAUUCUCCCUCAUUCCUCUAGCUGAUGCAUCCGCAUCACUUCUGGCUUGUCUGGGUCCAGCCUUGGACAAUUUGCUUUCUGAUCCAACCCUCAGUAAGGAAUCCAGCAAUCAUAGGAAUAGCAGUAUCCUGGUUUGAGAAAAGAAGAGUUGAGUGAGUUGGAUAGAGCUGAGUGUCACCCCCAUGCUGCUGAUGCAGCAUCCCAUAAUGCUUAACAAAUCUUCCAUGGUAGCUUCUCAUACAUACUGGAUGUGGGAGGUGACAAGACCUCCCCACCCGCACCUCCACCACCCUGCUUCUGAAUGCUCUUAGGGAGGAAGAGAAAUUAUUCAGAGCCACCAUCUGGAAUCUAAGGCUCCCCAACUACUCUACAAGGCACCACAAAGAAGUCUACAAGGCAUUUAAAGACAGAGGAGAUGGAUGUCCUAAAAAUAUCUUAGACAGAGACCAAAACUUUGUGGUCAAUUGUAUCAAAGGCUGCCAAGAGGUAUAAUAAAAUCAGCAGAGAACACCUUUUCAACAUCUAUCAGGAGCAGAUCAUCACAAGAUGAUAUCAGAACUAUCUCUAGGCCAUAAACAGAUCAAAAACCUGACGGAAAAGGAUCAAGAAAAUGUAUAGAUUCCAGAUGUGACUGGAUCUGCUUCAUCAUCACCUUCUUGGCACUUCCCCUAAAAAGGGGCAGAUUUGAGGAAAGAAUGCAUUGCUGAGCGGCUUCAGGCUGUCUGUGAAUCUGGUGGCCAGAUGGGUGCUUCAUGUCCUCCGGUGUCUUCUUUGGAGCUAAUAUCUUGGCCUUGGAAAUACUCCAGACCACCUCUCUGCUUCUAUCAACUCUAUAGUUGAUGCUUUCCUCCCACCCGCCUUUGAGUACUACCCUUACACUGCUGUGAUUACGUGGACCUGGCAAAUGCCACAAUGAUCUAAGAAUGUGACACAUCAGGAUUCCGUGCUGAGGUAACUUUUUCCAGUUGUCCCUUCUCAUAUAUUCUGUCUCAAUACUUUUUCAGCCAUUGUCUACUCUUUGAAUAUUUUUGCCUCUCACACUCAGAUGCAAAACCAUGUUAUAGGGCAGAUGCCCCAAGGAGUAUACCAUGUGGCUUUGUUUUGAAUAUGGUUUGGUCCACACAAAAAAACCCAGAACCCUGCUACCCUUGUAAUUUGAGUCUGUUAUUUCUGAUAAAGGGCAGUCAUGGAUGUUUACCUAUAUGGACGCUAUUUGAACAGUUACCUUUUUCUGCUGGUACUAUGCAACUAUUCAUUAGAAAAGAGAUUCGUAGAGGAUGUGAACGAAGUGCAUAGAAUUCUGAGAGAAGAAGGUGGAUGGUACAAAACUAUUCAGUAGGUGAACGGGCUCCACAUCAAGAGAGCACAAACAAACUGGAGCUGUGAAAGAACUGGUCUCUGAGGGUAUUCAGAAGAAAUUCCUUUACAAAGAAGGUAAUUCACAUCUAGAACCAAUUGCCAAGGUUGGUAAAAGAAGUGAUAAUGAAAUACAUUUCUAAAUAAUGGGACAAGGAAUUACAAGAAAAAACAUUACAUAAUACAAAGUACAAACCAUUACUAAUAUGUGGAUUGACCUUGAUGGUCAUCUUUGAUGCUGAAGGUCUUAAUCCUGUGAGUCCUUGGACAGUGUUCAUUUGGAUGUGCAAGACUGAUGCAAAUAAGUGCCAGCUAUGCAUAGGUCAAGUAAAGUUAUGUGCCAAGUGGAAACCUCUGCACUGAGGAAGUAGUUGGUCUCAACCCACCUCUGCAUUUACUCUUUGACUUUUAAUUUGGAAUAUGAAAAGGGGCAGGAUGUGAACAGAGAAUGAGCACGUCUGAGAAAACAUGGUUUUAAGUGUGGUCUUUGUCAUGCUAAAGGGGUACCUAGGCGUUAUUCCUGCUAAUAGGCCAGAACAAACUGGCAGUCAUACAGCAAUGUUCUGGUCAGCUUUCUCUGCCUUCUCUGUCCUGCAAAAAUCACUUGUGGCCAUGCUCUUGUAGACACAACACUCUGCAUCUGCACUGUAUAGAUUUGAAGCCUAGAAUGUUCCUACAUUGUGGUGACUGAGCUGGUCUCUACAGCCUUAAAGUGGAGCUCCUUGUGUCCAUUCAACCAUCCUGACUCCUUUAGAAGGAGAAAAUUCCUUUUUACCUUGUAUCUCAAUUUAUCAUUUUCUGUGAUGUCAACAAGACAGUAGAUAAGACCAGCUGACAUAAUUUAACUCUUUGACAAAGUCCCUCAUAAGAGGCUAUUUAAGAAAACUAAGUAGCCAUAGGGUGAGAGGAGGUGAAGUUCUGUGCUGGAUUAGAAACUGGCUAAGGGAAAGAAACCAAACAGUAGGAAUAAAUGGCCAUUAACACCCUGGCAGAAUUUUAACCAAGGGGUGCUCCAGGGAACUGUAGUAGGGCCCCAGUUUGGAAAAACUCUGAGAAAGGCAGAAGGAAACAUGGAGCAGCAGUGAAAUCUACCAGUUUUUUCAGGGGAGUUUUCCAAAUGAUUCUCAGUCUACCAUAUGGUAUUAAAUGAAGCUGCUUACUUGCAUGUGUAAGCCAGAAAAGCCAUAAAUGAGCCAUACACUUAUAGGGAUACCACGGUGGCAUGAGGUGUUUUGGUAAUGGAGUUCCAGAGACUAGUACCCCCCAAAAUCAGGCUGUAUGAUCGUAUAUGACCAGGGGAAAAUAUGACAUAAGGAUGAGGAGAAAGCCAAGUCCUGGGAGGUAGAGCCAGGAUGACAUGAGAUAUAUCUGGCCCCAUCAUUUUAUUUGCAGUCAGAAGAGACACAAAUAUCCAGUGGUUGUAAAGACAAGAGGAAAGGCUGGGUUAAAGUAGAGUACUGCAGAGGGCAUCUUGGAGAUGCUUUGAGAGGGACUGUGCAUACUGCUGCCAGCAACCACUUGGAGAUACAUGGAAGACAGAGGUUUGGAUGCAACAUUCCAAAGUUAUUGCAUUACAAACAGAGAAAUGCCAUCAAGUUGAGAGUCAGACCUCACUUCACUUGGCCACUGUGCCAAAAAUCCUGGUUGUUGAUACUUCUGGAAAAGAAUCUUGCUUCAUGUGAAGCUUUCAGACUAACAGACUACUGUUAAAGUCAAUGUGGAUUAUUUCGGAAGGGCGUUGACUAAGGAUUUCAUUAUUUGGGAAUAAGAAGGCAGUUUUAAUGUCAAUUUGGGAAAGAUAUUAAAUUUUAAUAGUUGAGGAUUGCUAUUUAAUUAAAUGAAAUAAUCUUAGCUACUUGAAUAAAAUCUAGUGGCAAGGAAACAAUUUUUUUAGACAGCGUAAAAGUUAUAAACUAGACUUGUUUUAAACAGUUCUUGCGCACAAACUCUGUUAAUACUGUGGAAACAAAUAUGGAUAAAUCCUUUCUUUUGUCUAAUACAAUAAAGGUACUUGC